UACAGAGGUGGCGAGCGUUGUUCGGAUUUACUGGGCGUAAAGCGUGCGUAGGUUGUUUUGUAUGUCGGACGUGAAAUCCCACGGCUCAACCGUGGAACUGCAUCCGAAACUGCAGAGCUUGAGUACAGGAGGGGAGAGCGGAAUUCUUGGUGUAGCGGUGAAAUGCGUUGAUAUCAAGAAGAACACCGGUGGCGAAGGCGGCUCUCUGGAAUGUUACUGACACUGAGGCACGAAAGCUGGGGGAGCAAACAGG
rnacentral:rRNA from 1 species